CAACACCUGUAGAAAAGACAGCAACAAAAGUGGCAUCAUUUUCCUGGCUUGCGUUCGCCCACGGCAUUAUUUCAGAAACACCGAGUGUUCCACACGGACCCUUGCACUUUCUGCCACGGCGAUAAUUGUCAUUAAUUUAGGAAAAGUUACAAUCACCAUACUCUCUACCCACCUCGCUCUCAGCACAACCUCCCCACAUGGCUGGAUGUGGAUACUCACCUACCUUGGCAUCUGCUUCAAGAGAGGAGACAGGGGGCCUGUUCUGGAGAGAAGGAAGUCAACUUUUCUUCACUUUGGAACAACUGACGCAUUUCUCUUUCCUUCCUGUCGGGCCAGUGCUGAAGCGGGGCAGCGCCUGCGCCCGCCCAGACAGCUUCUGUGGUUGCCCCCACAUCGCCAAGGACCUCAGGAGCGAGGCCACCCAAAGCCACACCCAGGGGCUCUUGUAGGCCAACAGUCCACGGUCUUCAGCUGGAGGACAGACGGAGCUGACGUUCCUGAAACUUUCACCCCUACCAGGGAAACCCCAAGACAUACUAGAGUCUUCAAAUAUUCAAACGUUUUCACAUUUGCAAGGGGUUUCACAUUGACCUCAAGUGUAAAUGACUGAUCACAUUGUGAAGAAUGGUUACAAACGCAAGAAUAACAAGACUGGCAUAAGCUUUGGAGGGGGGAGGGUGCACCGCGGGGCGGGGGCAGGGGAUUUCACUGAGGUAUCCCAUACAAAUAGAAUACGAUAAAAUCACAAGCGGGGGGAACACACCCCUAUCAAGAAACUACAACGGCACCCCGGAAGUCCCUUUGUCUGCCCUUCCAGUUACUACCUUCUCCCCAAAGAUAACUAUUUUCCUGAUCUCUAACACCACUGAGUCGCUUUCCUGUUUUUGCACUUUGUGUCAAUCAAUGAACGUAUAUAAUAUG